AAGUCGUAACAAGGUUUCCGUAGGUGAACCUGCGGAAGGAUCAUUAUCGAGUUUGCAUCGGACGUGACGGUUGCCUCCUACUCUCAGGGGUAGGAGUGCGCCGGCGCCCGCAUCUCCCACACCGUGCGUACGCAUGUCAUUACGUUUUUAAACACAAAGGACAAUGUGUCUAAUCAACCAAAUUCAAACAAAGCAAAAACUUUCAACAACGGAUCUCUUGGUUCUG
rnacentral:misc_RNA from 1 species